GUGCUUAUUUCGUCAGCACAUGUACUCAAGUUAGAAUGAUACAGAGAAGAUGAGCACAGCCUCUGCACGAGCGUGAAAAGCUCCUUUUGUGCUACUUUCAGCAAUGUU